CGGAUCGGCUCUUCGGCGUCCGCCCCGCUGGCCGCACAUUCACGGACAGCCUGUGCCGAGCUCCCUCCUGGGCGGUGAGGCGAAGAGCCAGCGCCGGCGGCAGGACGUCGCGGGCGGGGACAGGAGGCGAUGAGCUGCGGCUGCUGAGGCCUUGGCACGCUGGCUCCUUUCUGCUGGCCCAGAUACGACAAUCUGGAAACCUGGCUCUUAGUGCUCUCUAAAAAAUAGCUCAUAGUAGGCACUCCAGCUUUUGCCCACUUGACAAAAACUCAAGGGAGGAAUCUCCAGACCCUGAUCAAAUACCACUGGUCUCAAGACAUUCAUCUAAGACACCCAGGAUUCCUUUGCCUGAUGUCUCAGAACACUUUCCUGAUUACAGACUGAGAGCAAAAUUGCAAAUGAAAAGAAAAACAACCUUCUUAGACAUUUAUUUAAGGAAUCAAGAGUUUUCUAAAACUGUAACGUGUACUGUCAUUCUACUCACCAUACCACCUGAACACAGCUUUGCAUUUCAAACUGGAUUACUCUCUUAAAAUAUUGGAUUAUUAAAAACAACAAUAGUGAACUCUACCGAGUAUUUUUGCAUUUGCUUAUUGCAGUAUUAAUUAAAACAAUUUAUAAUUUUUAACACAUUUAACAGCUCAACAAAUGCAUGAUUCUUUUAAUCUGCCUGAAGUUGUAAGAGGACACUUCACUGGAGAAAAUGUAUGAAAGUGCAGCAUUAAUUUCUGAAAUUCCUCAUCCGACUUCUGCUUUUAGUCCAUCACUACUCCGCAUGCUCCUGCUCUUGUCCUGGAAUGAGCCACCGGAUGCUCUCAGUUCGAAUGGUAGCAUACAUAAUAAAACUAAUUAAAAAGAAUAAGGAAAAUACAAGCAGCCAGUCCACACUUUUUAUCAAAGUGCUGGGAAGAGGGCCUAUUUGGUCAGCUUGAGUUACCACCACAUUUUUCUUGGCUUCUAUACCUGAAAGAGAAAUCAGCUGUUUCAAAUCAGAUAGAAAGCACACCGCUAUAGAUCUUUCUGAAGUAUUUUGCAUGGCAUGCAAAAAGAUAUGCAGUCUUAAAAUAAACACUACCACUAGUAUAUCUGGGAUGGGUUUCAUUUGCCUGUUGGUAUAAUUUGUACCUUGCCUUUCUCCCACCACAUCAAAGAAACAGGAACCCAUUCAGCAGUUCAAAGCCUAAACACUCAAAUGACUGUGAACUCCUCAGAAGGGUCUUAGUGCAUUGUAAGAGCUGUAUUUUCUUUUUUGAGACCAAAAUUCAACAAGUAACUGGUAAAGCUACUCUCAGGGACCUACAGAAUGUUUUCACAGGUUCAGGAAUGCUAAAUCCAAAAAGUUUUUUUUUUUAAUUUUCUUUUUUUUAAUUUUUGAAAGAGACAGAGCACAAGUGGGAGAGGGGCAGAGAGAAGGAGACACAGAAUCUGAAGCAGGGUCCAGGCUCUGAGCAGUCAGCACAGAGCCCAGUGCGGGGCUCGAGCCCACAAGCCGUGAGAUCAUGACCUGACCCAAAGUUGGAUGCUUAAUUGACUGAGCCACCCAGGGGCCCCAAAUUCAAAAAGCUUUUAAAUAAUUUACUGAAAAAAUUGUUAGAACUACCCACCAUUGAGAUCAGUGAUUACCAAAGAUGCUGUGACCUCUCAAUUUCACUUGUGUUCUAGGUUUUCUUAGAGCAUCGAGCAAAAUGGCUCCCUCUCUCCCUAUCAAUCUGAUUGAUAAUCAGGGCUCUGGUACUGUAAGACCUGAAUAGCUAACUAUCUGAUAACAAGCCUCUUACUCCUAUGAGGUAACUGAGCUCUUGGUUCUUUAGUAUAGAUAUAAUUAGAUGCAACUUAAUAUAUAUGGAAGGCAUGAUAUAACUUAUUUUUAUUUCCAAUGAAUUUACUUCAGGAAGAAGUGGGAUGCUCCUAAUUAAGGCAUUAAAGCUUCUAAGGAGCAAAUGUUUCCAAAGAAGAAAAUUUCUUAUUAUACAGUCUUCAGACUUAUACAGAAUAAAAAAUAAGGUCAUAUGUUUUGGCAAAUAUUAAGGAAUUAAAAUAGCAUCUGCAAAUAGAUGAAUAAAUGGAACACCACAUGGCAACACAAAGGAAGAAAAUACAACCACCUGCAGUGCAGUGACGCCGAUGAAUCCCACAAACAUAAUGGUGACUGAAAUAAACCAGACACAAAAGAAUCCAUACUGGACACCUGGGUGGCUAAGUCGGCUAAGCGUCCAACUUCAGCUCAGGUCACGAUCUCACGGUUCAUGAGUUCAAGCCCUACAUCAGGCUCUGCACUGACUGUGCACAGAGCCUGAUUCAGAUCCUCGGUCUCCCUCUCUCUCUGCCCCUCCCCCAUUCAUGCUCACUCAUUCACUCUCAAAAAUAAACAUUAAAAACAACAAAAAAAAAAUCCCUACUGUAUGUCUCCAUUAAUAUAAAGUUCAGAAACAGUAACACUAGUCCACGGCGUCAGGAGUCACGAUGGCGGUUAUCCUUGUGGGCAGGAGCAGCAGUGCUGGGGAGGGGCGGGCGCUGGUAAUGUCCUCUGUAAAUCUGAGUCCCAGUUACCCAAGGUAUUCAUUUUGUGAAAACUCAUCACUCACAACACCAAUGAUUGAUCACAUUUUUGUGUAAAUAUUAUACUUAAGUGAAAAAUGUAUGUAAAAAGUUAUCUACAGUUGUAUGGUAUGUGAAUUCUAAAUCAAUAAAGCUGUUUUUUAAAAGGUA